AUUGAACGCUAGCGGGAUGCCUUACACAUGCAAGUCGAACGGAGUGGCGAACGGGUGAGUAAUGUAUCGGAAAGUGCCCAGUAGCGGGGGAUAACUACGCGAAAGCGUAGCUAAUACCGCAUACUAUUGGAGCGGCCGUAAUCGGAUUAGCGAGUUGGUGGGGUAACGGCUCACCAAGGCGACGAGCCGUAGCUGGUUUGAGAGGACGACCAGCCACACUGAGACUUAGACAGGGGCCAGGAGCCUACGCGAGGGAGCCGUGGGGAACUUUGGACAAGGGGUGAAAGCCUGUUUCAGCCAUCCCGCGUGUGCGAAGAAGGCCUUCGGGUUUUAAAGCACUUUUGGCAGGAAAGCGGUACCUGCAGAAUAAGCACCGGCUAACUACGUGCCAGCAGCCGCGGUAAUAC
rnacentral:rRNA from 1 species